UUUUGCAUUGGGCUUCGUGAGUGUUUGGUGCCAAAGAUCAUAUGACAAAACAUUUCUUUCAUUCAGAAAACGUCAAGUGAUCCCGACAGCUCUUGAAAUAUUUAGAUACAACAUUAUAUAACGAACUGCACCAAUCAUUGAUCAAGAGAACUUUUGCUCUGCUUACCCACAAGAAAGAAAAAGAUUGUGAAAAAUGAAUACGUUCAAAUACACUGCGUUCAUUGUACUUCUCUACGUUUUUAUGAAUGAAUUUUGUGUGUGCGUUGGAAAACGUGCGUAUAACUCGCGUUGUAAACCUCGGUUGGGAAUUUCAGAAUUAAAAAGGAAAGGUUGUGAUGUGAAAAGGGUGCCCACAAGUGGUUGUCAUGGACAAUGUUUCUCGAGUGCUACACCGUUAACUACAGGAGGAUUUAAAAAGACCUGUUCAUGCUGCUCUCCAACUGCAGUUGCUCGUUUUCCUGUUUAUCUGAGAUGCAAUAAUAACGUACAAGUUAAAGUACUCAUGCCUAGAGCUUUAAAAUGUAGAUGUAGACCGUGUUAACAUUGCAAGCUGGACAAGAAUAUUAAAUGGCAUGCGUAGCUUGUGUGUCGACGUGAAUUUUUCGAAAGGGCAAAGUUUUACGAUGACAGAUAUCGACUGAAAAAUUAUGAAAUUAUUUAACAACUGUACGUACGACUGAGAGAAACAGAUGAUGUUGUACAUUCUUGUUUGGGUUUACAGUACAAUAAAAUUUUAAUAGUAUAUCUUUGUCUAGCUACUCUACAUCGAAUGGAAUUUGUAGACUUCUAUUUUUAUAUAUCUCAGUGUUGGUAUAUCUAUAUCUUAUUUAAUUUGGUUAAAUCCGAUGUUUUUGGAUGUUGUGUAUGAGUCUGGUUUGUGACUGUAACAUUACCAAUUAACCAAAUCAUAAACUUUCUUUAAAUUUUGCUGUGGGGCGCGAACUUAAAUAUAGACAUGUUGAGCCAAGAAGGCAUGCAGCGUUCAAUUGAAUUACUGCUCAUUGACAUUUCGCAAUUUAUUCCAAACUUCAUCAUAUGUGACGGCAUUUCACUAAAUUGAGUACAUUAAAAACUUAUAUGGAAUAGUUUAUAUAUAUACAGUAUAAGUUAAUAUAUUAUCUUAAAAAAUGUAAAUAUCGGUAAAUUCGAGUAAAAUAUAAGAAAAUUGUGAUGAAUGUAGUUUUUAAAACAUUUACUGUCGAAAAUUAUAUAACUUUUUACAACAAA